GACGAACGCUGGCGGCGUGCUUAACACAUGCAAGUCGAACGGAAAGGCCCUGCUUGCAGGGUACUCGAGUGGCGAACGGGUGAGUAACACGUGGGUGAUCUGCCCUGCACUUCGGGAUAAGCCUGGGAAACUGGGUCUAAUACCGGAUAGGAGCCAUUUUUAGUGUGAUGGUUGGAAAGUUUUUUCGGUGUAGGAUGAGCUCGCGGCCUAUCAGCUUGUUGGUGGGGUAAUGGCCUACCAAGGCGGCGACGGGUAGCCGGCCUGAGAGGGUGGACGGACACAUUGGGACUGAGAGACGGCCCAGACUCCGACGGGAGGCAGCAGUGGGGAAUAUUGCACAAUGGGCGCAAGCCUGAUGCAGCGACGCCGCGGGGGUGAUGACGGCCUUCGGGUUGUAAACUCCUUUCGCUAGGGACGAAGCUUUUUGUGACGGUACCUAGAUAAGAAGCACCGGCUAACUACGUG
rnacentral:rRNA from 1 species